GGUGGUGCAACCAUACAGAGACCUCAUCUGAUUUACCUAGCAUGGUGCUUGGCACAUAGUAGGUGCUCAAAAAAUUACUUGAAUGAAUGAAUGAACAAAUGAGGUUCAUCUUAGUUGACAAAGCAAUGGGAGAGGCUGGAGAUGGACUUGGUAUGGAUCCACCCUGCAACUUCCCUUGAGGCAUCCACCCUUUCCUCAUUCCUUGCAACCCUUGCAAAGCAAAGCUGUUCAACUAUGAGAUUUGCAAUUUGAUUUACUCCCGAGUGACAUCACAGCCAUCACCAUGGCAACACCCCACGAUGCCUGUCUGCCAGACAAAGUCUCUCCCGUCAGCAAAGGGCAGGUGGACACCCAGGAUGGAAAGGAGCCAUUUGAGAGGCACAAGCAUCAGCCUUCUCUGCCCUGCAGCCAGGGGCUGAUGGAGCUGGUGUUGGGCCACUCAGACUUCCUUCAUCCCCAUAACCAAAGGGACCAGAAACUUAGAAGAUGUCACAGUUUUAUCUACUACUGACCCUGCAGGCAGGGCUGCCUGGUAGUGAAAAAACAUGGUACGUAACAGAGUCGAGACAGGCUUGUGUCGGACGGACGUAGACUUCCACCCUGCGCUGCACUGCCUGGCCACCUGAUCUCCCUCAAAGAGCCUCAGUUUUUCACCUGUAAAGUGGGGAUAAUGCAUCCACAUCUCAGGAUCACUGCAAAGAGUAAGGACAUCGCAUAUAAAAAACUGGCCCACAGAAGGCAUGGAGUAAAUGCCAGCUGUUACAGCAGCUUCUGAAGGAAGGCAGAGCCUGCCUAGCAGCCACCCCACUGGCAAACGUGUCAACAGGAAGAGUGAGAAGUGAGCAAUGCCUCCUGAGCUGAUGCCUACAGAGGAGCUGUGACAAUCUGCCUCUAGAACAAUCUCAGCAAGCUGCCUGGCACAGGGGAAAUCCAACCAUGACGACUUUGCCCAGACUCUGCAAGAUGCUUUCUAAUUGUUGGUGUUCACGAGGGACAAGCAACAGCUGAGCUCAUUCCCUUCCUAUCAAUUUGCAACAUCUGCCCCAGCCCUUACUGACAGUAGAGAAAAAUAAGAACUUUCCGAGCACACCUUUAGGCCACCAAUCUUCAGUGACUUACUGGGCCCUUCCAGAAAUCAGAUUUUCUAACUGGUCCCUGCAUUAGCCCCAGUUGCUUUGGAGUGUGAGCGCUGUCUCUUUGGGGAGACUGUGGGCUCCUUGAGGGCUCUGCCUUUUUAUUCUGUGUAGCCCCAGCACACAAUGGGGAAAGGAAAAACAGUAGAAUAAUGCUCAUAAUAGAUAAGAUAAGAUGGAUGAAUAAAUAGGUAGAUGAAUAGGUAGGUAGGUGGAUGGAAGGAUGGAUGGAUGGAUAGAUCAAUGGGUGGGUGGGUGUAUGGAUGUGUGGGUGGAUGGAUCAAUAAAUGGAUAGAUGAAUGGGUGGGUGGAUGGAUGGACGGAUAAAUAGAUAGAUGAAUGAGUGGGUGGGUGAGUGAAUGGAUUGGCAAAUGGGUGUGUGGGUGGGUGAAAGCCUUGGUGGAUGGGUGUGUGGAUGGAUGGAUGGAUGGAUGGAUGGAUGGAUGGAUGGAUGGAUUGGAUGGAUAGAUGGAUGGAUGGAUGGGUGGGCUGAUGAAUGGAUGGAUGGAUGGAUGGGUGGGCCAAUGGAUGGAUGGAUGGGUGGAUUGGAUGGAUAGGUGGAUGGGUGCAUGGGUGGGUGGGUGGAUGGAUGGAUGGAUAGACGGAUGGAUGGAUGGGUAGAUGAGUGAAAUACAAUGACUGAGGUAAAAAUUGCCUCCUUU
rnacentral:lncRNA from 1 species